rnacentral:lncRNA from 1 species
AUGUUCUGUUCCGUGUUCCGUGUUCUAUGUUUGUUACGAAUCUGUGUGCUUUCCUCUGCUUUAUAUUCCUGCAUCCCUGCUUUACUCUGUUUUAUAUUCCUUAUGGCUGCAGUAUCUAUGUUAUGUCAUCUGCUUCUGUGCUGUACUAUGUGUUUGUUUGAUAUCUCGUAACUUGAGCCGGGGGUCUUUCGGAAACAGCCUUUCUACUUCAUCAGAGGUAGAGGUAUGGCCUGCGUACAUCUUACCCCCCCC